AGGGGCGCCAGAGAGGGU
rnacentral:snRNA from 1 species